CUUUCUUAAUUUGCUUGCAUAUGUGUAUCAUCCAAGUUUUAUAUCACUUAUAAUAAGUCUGAUGGGAAAUGAAGAGAAUUACACAAACACCACAAAAGUUUUGUCAUUCCAUCUGUUCAUCAAACCCUUAUUAAUUUGCAUAUAUAUGUCUUUCAGAGGUACAUUUUAGGAACUUUUUUUUGGAGGGACCACAUCCAUGGCAUGUGGAAAUUCCUGGUCCAGGGAUCAAACCUGGGCCACAGAAGUAACCAGAGCUACAGCAGUGACAAUGCCAGAUCCUUAACCCACUAAGCUGCUACAAUGGUGAUUUCUUAAUUUUCUUUUUUUCUUCUUGCCACACCCACAGCAUGUAGAAAUUCCCAGAUCAAACCCAUGCCACAGCAGCAACCCAUGCCACUGCAGUGACACCAGAUCCUUAACCAGAUGUACCACAAAGGAACUCUGAUUUUUCUAUUAAUGAAUGAGAUUGAAGACUAAAUUACUUCCACCUAAAACAAAGGACUUCUAUUCUUCAAAUAAGCAAAUAUUUAUUGAAUAUUAAAAAGUAAGCAUUGUGGAAAGUAAUCUUAAACUUUUAAUAGUGGUCAUAUCAUACUUAAUUAAAAGGGAUUUGUCUUUAAAAUGUGACUAUUUGUGACAUCAAUAAGAUAAAACUCCUAAGUGCAGGAAACUGACAAAGUACUACACAACUAUAACUAUAAAAGUUGAAACGAUAAAUUCCUUUAAAAGGGACACAAAAUAGAGCAAUGUAAAAAGAAAUUAGAGAACUUCUAGCUGAGGAUAAUAUCAUUUAUUAAAGCACACUAUGUAGGCACCAUGGCAGCAAUGAUUCUUUAUUUACGAAAAUCAAAGAUUUACAUCAGAGUAUGUUCUCCUAAACAUACUACUUUCUUUCCCACCUCUGAGAUUUUGAAUACUCUCUUUAUUCCCUUUUCUAAGAAUAUCCCUCUAAUUCAUCCUUUAAAAUACAACUCUUCUAAGGUUUCCCUGAUCUCCCGACAGAGUCCCACUUUCUGCACCUUAUGCAAAUAUCUACUGUUUCACUUAUUAUCUACAGAAAGCUAUUUUUACUUACAUAUUAAUCAGGUAUGUCAUAUCUUUGUAUAAAGAAUUUAUGCAUUUAGUUAUAAAGAAAAGAUAGAAUCUGCAUAAGGUAAUGCAAACAAACUUUGACACUAAAAGGAGCAGUUCAAACGAUUGUCAUUCAGAGUUUAUCUACAGUCCUUCAUCCUUUUAAAUUAACUGAUGAGAUUCAAAAAUAUGACACUGAUUUCUUGCAAAACUAAUCAUGAUUUAAUAUGUUUCAAAGGCAUGUAGAAAGAGGAAGAAUUCUAUCUAAUAAUAUAACUUUAUAAUAACUAGAACCUCAGUCACAAAUCACUGAUUAUAAAACUCUCAAAAUUCCAUUUCAAAGGAAGAUAUACAGAGUUACAACUGGAUCUCUUAAAAGAGAAAACAAGUUUUCAAUAUCAAUUAUAAAUUAGAGACCCCACUUUGUCAGCUUCCUUUGUAGCAAAAAAUGCUAGUUGUUCUCUAAUAUCCUUUUCUCUGCUUUUCUGUAGUUUUCUAAUUUUAGCUGAGCACAUGUUUGUCAGACCAGAUACUAUGUUUUCCAGUUAAGUAUGUUCCAAUGAUUAAAUUCUCAUCUCUAAGACAUGAAUCAACACGAUGCAUACCACAUCCAGAUGAUGCUCUCAAAAGAAUGAGUGUGCAGAGUCCCCUGCUUGGCUGCAGUGGGUUAAGAAGCUGACUGCAGUGACCUGGGUCUCUGCAGAGGUUCAGGUUCAAUCCCCGGCCCAGUGCAGUGGGUUAAAGGAUCCUGUGUUGCCGUAGCUGCAGCAUAGGUUGCAACUGCGGCUUAGAUCUGAUCCUUGGCCCAAGGAACUCCAUAUGCCCCAGGACAGGUCCCUCUCCCCAAAAAAAGAAGAAAAGAAAAAGAAAAAAAAUGAGUGUGCACUCCUACUGUCCUUUCUCCCUUGACCGAAAGCAGCCGUGUUCAACCUAGAAACAUGUUCAAUACAUGGAAACCAUACUAUGGAAAAUUACUUACAAACCUCAGUUUUCCUCUGUGGUAUUAUGUAAGAGUUAACGUUUAUCAGAUUUCCCGUCAUGGCACAGUGGAAACAAAUUUGACUAGUAUCCAUGAGGAUGCAGGUUCGAUACCUGGCCUUGAUUAGUGGGCUGGGUGUCCGGCACUGCUGAGAGCUGUGAUGUAGGCCAGAAGCUGUAGCUCCAAUUUGAUCCCUAGCCUGGGAACAUCCAUAAGCUGCAGGAGCUGAUUAGAUUACAUGAAGGCUAACUUGCUCUAAGAAACUUUUGUUUCUUUUAAGGAUGAUUAACAUAUUUUUGGCAGGUGGAAAAUAAGCAGAAUAACUGAGCGAGGCCAGGGAUUGAACCUGUUUCCUCAUGGAUACCAGUCAGAUUCGUUUCUGCUUAGGCACAACAGGAACUCCAGCUUUUUCUACUUCUGAUAUAUUGUGAUACUUGUUUUUUUCAGAUUGUAAUAGAUAAGCAGCAGCAAAUUAGGGACAGGAGAAAUGCUAAUAGGAAAAUGCAUACAGAUAGGGAUAAGAAGUGAUGGCUGGCAUCUUGAUAGUGAAGUGGAGUCAGAGUUCAAGUGUUGGAAUAAGAACAUAAAAACUUAAUUUUCAGGUUAUUUAAUUUCAGAAUCAUUAUUCCUAGAAUAGGAUCAGUAUUUAUAGCAUGUCUGUUAUGGUUAUUGAUGAUCUUAUUAAUGAUUCUGAAUUACAGAGAAUACUUAAUUGCAUUUAAUUUUUUCAAGAAAGCAAAGAGGUGUAUGAUUUGGUUUAGAAAGAUUGCCAUUGUUUUUGUUUUUAAGUUUUGAGGUAUGUGGAAAAGUCAUAUAU
ensembl:lncRNA